rnacentral:rRNA from 1 species
GACGGAGGAUGCAAGUGUUAUCCGGAAUCACUGGGCGUAAAGCGUCUGUAGGUGGUUUAAUAAGUCAACUGUUAAAUCUUGAGGCUCAACCUCAAAAUCGCAGUCGAAACUAUUAGGCUAGAGUACGGUAGAGGGGGAUGGAAUUCCGCGUGUAGCAGUGAAAUGCGUAGAUAUGCGGAGGAACACCGAUGGCGAAGGCAAUCCCCUGGACCUGUACUGACGCUCAUGCACGAAAGCGUGGGGAGCAAACAGG